rnacentral:rRNA from 1 species
UACGUAGGUGGCAAGCGUUUGUCCGGAAUUACUGGGUGUAAAGCGCGUGUAGGCGGGAGGCCAAGUCUGCUGUGAAAUCGCCCGGCUCAACUGGGCGGGGUCGGUGGAAACUGGUCACCUGGAGGACGGUAGAGGCGAGUGGAAUUCCCGGUGUAGCGGUGGAAUGCGCAGAUAUCAGGAGGAACACCGGUGGCGAAGGCGGUUCUCUGGGCAUUACCUGACGCUGAGACGCGAAAAGCGUGGGGGAGCGAACAGG